ACUAAGAAAAAAUAUAUUACUCUCUGCUUGAAAAGAUUUUCCAGUGAACUUUUAAGAAGUAUCUUGCUGUGUUCGUAUCGAAUAGUGUGGAAUCAACUUGUCUUCAUUGCUGAUAUAUUUUAACUGCUUAACCAGUUGGUGCUCUUCAUACAUGUAUUUAACUUCUGUUUUGCAUAGCUAUUUAGUUACUUUUUAUGCAUAAGUCCAAAAAAAUGGAUUUUGAUGAAUAAAGGAAGCAUUCGGGCC
rnacentral:lncRNA from 1 species